rnacentral:rRNA from 1 species
CCUACGGGUGGCAGCAGUGAGGAAUAUUGGUCAAUGGGCGGGAGCCUGAACCAGCCAAGCCGCGUGAGGGAAGAAGGUACAGCGUAUCGUAAACCUCUUUUGUCAGGGAACAAAGGCGGGGACUAGUCCCCGGAUGAGGGUACCUGAAGAAAAAGCAUCGGCUAACUCCGUGCCAGCAGCCGCGGUAAUACGGGGGAUGCGAGCGUUAUCGGGAUUUAUUGGGUUUAAAGGGUGCGCGGGCGGCCUGUUAAGUCAGCGGGAAAAGCCCGGGGCUCAACCCCGGCGAGCCGUUGAAACUGGCGGGCUGGAGUUGGAGAGAGGUAAGCGGAAUGCGCGGUGUAGCGGUGAAAUGCUUAGAUAUCGCGCAGAACCCCGAUUGCGAAGGCAGCGUACCGGCUCCACACUGACGCUGAGGCACGAAAGCGUGGGUAUCGAACAGGAUUAGAUACCCCUGUAGUC